rnacentral:rRNA from 1 species
CGCGUAGGCGGCCUUGUAAGUCUCGUGUGAAAGCCCUCGGCUUAACUGAGGAUCUGCACGGGAUACUGCGAGGCUUGAGUUCGGGAGAGGAAAGCGGAAUUCCGGGUGUAGCGGUGAAAUGCGUAGAUAUCCGGAGGAACACCAGUGGCGAAGGCGGCUUUCUGGACCGACACUGACGCUGAUGCGCGAAAGCUAGGGGAGCAAACG